UUGCGCUCCCAAUGGGAAAUGGAUUUCUUUGGUUUUUAACCCCUGUGCGUUAGCAUCAAGGAUCAUCAACUUUCAGUUAUCCGAUUUUGAAUGGAUUCAAGUCCAUCGCCUUAACCACUCGGCCAUAGCUGCGCUCAGAUGGUUUUUCCGUAAUUUUUUUUUAUUAUCUCCCAACAGCUUUGGCG